CCCACUUUGUUCAGUCCACCAGGGAUCAUGGCAGGUUACAUAGUGGCGCCCCGAACAGAGACAGAAUCGGGUGCUCGAUAGAUCCUCAUAUAUAACUAUAAUUUGAGCCCCAUUGUAAAGUCCAUAAAUUUUUGUCAAUUUGAGCAUUUUUGCUGUUGUUGAAGUUAAGUUAGGACCUAUGUUGUAAAGACACAAAACCAAAUCAGUGCCUUUUUAUCCUUUAGUUACAUAAAUUUUUUGGUAUAAAAAUUAAUAUAUGAAUUUUGAAUUCCCAAUCAAAUCAAAUUGUAAAACUUUGUUUUGAUGCAGUUAUAUAUUAAAUGUACAUAAUUCACCUAUUUGUCAUAUGUUUACAUUAAAAUAUUAUAUACAUAUAUACAUAUGAUGUAUUUAAUUUCCUUUUUAUCACCCUCCCAUUAGAAGUUUGUUCAUAAAUCAGUAAGUAUUCUAGGACUAGGAUUAUGUUUCCUAGACCUGGAUUCUGCUCAGUACUUAAAUUUAAAGUUCCUCUUUUUUUUUCUUGGACUUGUGACUGUGGUGUAGAACUGGAAACUGUGUCAAGGGUUACUGAGCCCUGAGCCUCGUAUGAGAAAAUUAAGCUUGUAUUUAGACUGGAUGCCGAGGCAACAGACCCUUAUAAGCAUUCACUGCAGUGAAGAAGGGUGAUGAAUGUUGGUUAGGCAGCUGUCAGUCUUGGCCAGAAUUAUGCCUUCGGGUACUCAAGAUCCCUUUACACUCUUCCUCCAAAUAGAAGAAGUAGAGCCAUCCUUCCCAAGGAUGAGAUCCCCAACGUUUUAUGUUGAAGUUUCUUUGUGAUAAGCUCUGCCGGGCAAAGGCCCAAGGAACAUCACUAUCACAUUGU
rnacentral:lncRNA from 1 species